GCCAGCAGCCAUAUCACCCUGCAACUCACAACUGGCAGCCCACUGGAGCUCAGCAGGUGUGAGCCUGGUCCGUACCUGGAUGGGAGACCUCCUGGGAAAAAAAAAAGGUUGCUGCUGGAA
rnacentral:rRNA from 1 species